GCGCAGCAGGCGCGAAAACUUUACAAUGCGGGAAACCGUGAUAAGGGAACCUCGAGUGCUGGCGCAUAGCGUCGGCUGUCCAGAUGCCUAAAAAGCAUCUGAUAGCAAGGGCCGGGCAAGACCGGUGCCAGCCGCCGCGGUAACACCGGCGGCUCGAGUGGUGGCCACGUUUAUUGGGUCUAAAAGCGUCCGUAGCCGGCUCGGCAAGUCCCCCUGGGAAAAUCUGGCGGCUCAACCGGUCAGGCGGUCCAGAGGAUACUGCUGGGGCUUGGGGACCGGGAGAGGUGAGAGGUACCUCAGGGGUAGGGUGAAAUCUUGUGAUCCCUGA
rnacentral:rRNA from 1 species